UACGUAGGGUGCAAGCGUUAAUCGGAAUUACUGGGCGUAAAGCGUGCGCAGGCGGUUUGUAAGUCUGUCGUGAAAUCCCCGGGCUCAACCUGGGAAUUGCGAUGGAGACUGCAAGGCUAGAAUCUGGCAGAGGGGGGUAGAAUUCCACGUGUGAGCAGUGAAAUGCGUAGAGAUGUGGAGGAACACCGAUGGCGAAGGCAGCCCCUGGGUCAAGAU
rnacentral:rRNA from 1 species